UACGAAGGGGGCUAGCGUUGCUCGGAAUCACUGGGCGUAAAGCGCACGUAGGCGGAUUGCUAAGUCAGGGGUGAAAUCCUGGAGCUCAACUCCAGAACUGCCCUUGAUACUGGCGACCUCGAGUCCGGGAGAGGUGAGUGGAACUGCGAGUGUAGAGGUGAAAUUCGUAGAUAUUCGCAAGAACACCAGUGGCGAAGGCGGCUCACUGGCCCGGUACUGACGCUGAGGCACGAAAGCGUGGGGAGCAAACAGG
rnacentral:rRNA from 1 species